AGACAGGGUUUCUCUGUGUAGCUUUGCGCCUUUCCUGGAACUCGCUUUGGAGACCAGGCUGGCCUCGAACUCACAGAGAUCCGCCUGGCUCUGCCUCCCGAGUGCUGGGAUUAAAGGCGUGCGCCACCACCGCCCGGCCAAUCUUUGAUUUAAAAACUUCUCUACAUUAGGGGUCAUCCACUUCCUGUAAAGUUCAGAUAGCCAGUACACAUAGGCUAUGCAGCUUCUCUCCCAGCUCAGUUGUGCAGCUUACAGUCUAACGUGAAAGAGCUGCAGACAGUGUGGAACAAGUGAACACACUCCAGUAGAAGCACACCUCUCAGUAGGUGAUGGGUCGGGUCACCACAGAUGGAGCCAUAUUAACCCUAUCCUGGAGAAAAGAAAUAGAGAUCCCUUUCAUUUUUAAAGACAGACAGACAGACAGUCUAACAUUAGCAAGGAUACGUUAGAAGAACGUUUUAUCUGACAUUGCUCUUUCCGAGCUGGGUGGUGUGAUUGGGAACAUGAAGUUGUACAUUAUCAGAGAAGGCACCCGUGUGAGUGGCCAAUGUGAAAUGUAAAAAGUAUUCUAGAAUUAGCUGGACAAAAAAAAUGAAGAGCAAAAGUUUUAGUAAAGUAAGAGACCCUGCUACAGAAGUUAGCGCUGGAAGGUUCAUAAAGAGAAUCUGUGAUAGUUUUAUUAGUCUAGUAAGUUAAAUAGUGACAGAUUAUAAAUUUCUCAUAAGACACAAGACAGGAAAUCCGAAUAACCUUUUGUCUAUUAAAGGACUAAACUUGCAGGUGCUCUGCUGGACGUCUGUGAACUUGUUUUGUUCACUCCUGGGAACUGAUUGGCCUUGUACCCCCGCUAGUGCUCACUCCUCACAUCUCUAGUCCUCAGCUCUUGAGACAGGCUCCUGCUGUGUAGCUCAGGGAGGCCUUGAAGUCUCAGUCAUCCUACCUCAGUGCUCUGUGUGCUGGGGUUAGUCAGGUGCCAUGGCACCCAGCUUACUGAUGUUUUAGAAAGGAGUAAUGUUCCUGUACAAAUUCUUUCAGAAAAUAGAAGAGAGAACACUUUCUAGCUUGUUGUUACUGCAAUAAAUGAAAACUAAAGACCGGUUCCCUUCAUUAGCAACAUUCCUUGCUAGAUAAAGAGAUCAAAUCCAGCAACCUAUUGGAAGAAAGCAAUACGAGCAAUUAGACCCUAUCCCAGUAAUUUAAGAAAUAAGCCGGUGUAAUUCAUAUUAACUGGUUAAAGGAGAAACCUCUCAUAAAUAAGGAUAUCGACAAAUCUAGUAUCUGCUCCUGGUGUAAACGGUGCAUUACUAUUAGAUGGAAAUGGGACCUAAUGGAUUUGUAGCAGACACAGACUUUAACAUCAUCCUUCAUGUGGCUCCUGGGAUUGGACUCUGGAAGAGCAGCCAGUAAUUCCAGCUCCUGAUCCAAUUGAUUGGGUAGUCACUAUUGAGAGAGUUAUGCAUUCUGGAUAGGAGAUCUUUAUCAGUAAUCAGGAUUGUAUUUGCAUAUAUUUUUCCAGGUUGUAGCUUGAUCUCAAUCUCUCAAUCUCUCUCUCUCUCUCUCUCUCUCUCUCUCUCUCUCUCUCUCUCUCUCUCUUUCUCAUGUUACAAAGUGUUACGGUGUGUGUUACAAAGAUAAGAAAUUCAGUGGACAUGGUAGUGCAUGCCUUUAAUCCUGGUGCUAUGGAGUCAGAGGCAGGUGGAUCUCUAUGACUUCCAGGACAUACAGGGCUACAUAGUGAGACUCUGUCUCAAGGGAAAAAUUUUUUUUUAAAUUUUGUCUGUCAUGUUUUGUUUUUGUAAAGUUAGGGACUCAUGCAGCCAAGCUCACUCAGAUGGCCUUAAACCCCUAAGCCUUCUGCCUCUGCCUCCCAGGUGCUGGUAUUGUAUGCACACAUUACCACAUUGACUUAAGAAUUUUAAUUUUGAAGAAGUGCAAUUUGUCAUUUUUUCUUUGAUUCUUGCUUUUUGUGUUACACAUAGAGUCUUAUCUGAGAACAAUUUUUCAGUGUUUUCUCCUACACAUUUUGAAACUUUAAGCAUCAUUUUCAUGUUUGUGACACAUUUGAAUCAUUUUGUUAUAUGUGCAAGCGGAGGGUGGUUUUUUGUUGUUGUUGUUGGUUUUUUGAGACAGGGUUUCACUGCUGUAGCUUUAGAGCCUUUCCUGGAUCUCGCUCUGUAGCCCAGGCUGGCCUCGAACUCACAGAGAUCCUCCUGGCUCUGCCUCCCGAGUGCUGGGAUUAAAGGCGUGCGCCACCGCCGCCCGGCCGGAGGGUGUUUUUUGACUGCGGAUGUAAAACUGAGUCAGCAUCGUUUAAAACCGCCCUUUCUCCACCACAUUACCUUCACAGUCACACCAAGACCGUCUCGGUGGCUCAGCAGGUAAAGGUGCUUGCUGAGAGCCUGACGGCCCGAGGUCAGUCUUCCGGACCCUCACGGUAGUAGGAGAGAACCAGUUUUCAACAGUUGUCUUCUGACCGCCACAUGCACCCUGACACACAUGUGCCUCAGUGUCACAUUGACAGUCACACAAAGAUUUUACUGUUGCUGUGUAAGCAUGAUGCAUGUGUUUAAGAAGUGCUUUGUACUUAUUUUAAAACACGAGUGGGGCUGGAGAGAUGGCUCAGUGGUUAGGGUCACUGGCUGUUCUAUGGGACCCAGAGUCAGUUCCCAGCAUCCACAUGGUAGCACACAACUGGCUGUAACUCCAGAUCCCGGGGAUCCGAUCCCCUCUUCUGGUUUCUGUGGGCAUUAGGCCCACAAACAGUACACAGACUCACAUGCAGGCAAAACACUCAUGCACAUAAAAUAAAAACAAAGAAAUCUUUAAAAAUCUAGAGGAAGUCCAUAGACUAAGAAAAACAGAGGAGGUGGCUUGAAAAGGACAGUGUCUGUGGUGUCCAGAGUGAGGUCCGUUUUGGUUCACAUGUGAACAGUGUUCACUUUUAGUAAUUCUGGAAAACUAUGUUGAGUGUUAGAUCAUGGCCUGCCCUCAAGAGUGGAGUCGGCAGCCUAGGUUUAACUUGGUAGGCGGAGGUGAGUGACAUGACUCGUUGCCUUAAACCAGGAGGAACACGGUAGGCUGAUUGGGGGAUGAGAUAAGCAUGCCCGGUCUCAGCACGUGGAGGGUACUGGUGAGUAAAUGCUGAGGAGGUAUGGGUGGCAUAAGGAGGAUUUCAUAUGGGGGAACGCUUGCUCAGUCUGCCUGGCCCGGUUCAAUUCCUGUGAUGUCUGUCUGUCCUUGAACUUCUGGUCCUCCUGCCUCCGCUUCCCUAGUGCUGGGACUGUAGAUGUGGGUCGCCAUGCCUGGGUUAUGGUGCUGGGUAUUGAACACACAUAUCCCAUGCUAAGUUAACUCUACUGACUGAGCCACAUCCCAGCCCAACUCCAGUGUUUUUGAAAAUGGAAAUUCACUGGCUGAUAUGACUAAAGAAGUAUGCGAGCAUGUGUCUUGUGUAGCGAAAGAAAAGGUGUCGGGCUGGAGAGAUGGCUCAGCGGCUAAGAGCACUGGCUGAUCUUCCAGAGGUCUUGAGUUCAAUUCCCAGCAACCAUAUGGUGGCUCACAACCAUCUGUAAUGAGGUCUGGUGUCCUCUACUGGCCUGCAGGGAUACAUGCAGGCAGAAUGCUGUAUACAUAAAAAAUAAAA